rnacentral:tRNA from 1 species
GUUAUUUUGGCAGAAUAGUGCUAUUGAUUUAGAAUCUUUAUAUGUAAUUAUAUAUUACAAAUAACA